GAUGAACGCUGGCGGCGUGCCUAAUACAUGCAAGUCGAGCGAACAGAUAAGGAGCUUGCUCCUUUGACGUUAGCGGCGGACGGGUGAGUAACACGUGGGUAACCUACCUAUAAGACUGGAAUAACUCCGGGAAACCGGGGCUAAUGCCGGAUAACAUUUAGAACCGCAUGGUUCUAAAGUGAAAGAUGGGUUUGCUAUCACUUAUAGAUGGACCCGCGCCGUAUUAGCUAGUUGGUAAGGUAACGGCUUACCAAGGCAACGAUACGUAGCCGACCUGAGAGGGUGAUCGGCCACACUGGAACUGAGACACGGUCCAGACUCCUACGGGAGGCAGCAGUAGGGAAUCUUCCGCAAUGGGCGAAAGCCUGACGGAGCAACGCCGCGUGAGUGAUGAAGGUCUUCGGAUCGUAAAACUCUGUUAUUAGGGAAGAACAAAUGUGUAAGUAACUGUGCACGUCUUGACGGUACCUAAUCAGAAAGCCACGGCUAACUACGUG
rnacentral:rRNA from 1 species